AUUGAACGCUGGCGGCAGGCCUAACACAUGCAAGUCGAACGAGUGGCGGACGGGUGAGUAAUGUCUGGGAAACUGCCCGAUGGAGGGGGAUAACUACUGGAAACGGUAGCUAAUACCGCAUACCAUCGGAUGUGCCCAGAUUGGAUUUGCUAGUAGGUGGGUAACGGCUCACCUAGGCGACGAACCCUAGCUGGUAUGAGAGGAUGACCAGCAACACUGGAAUGGAGACACGGCCCAACCUCCUACGGGAGGCAGCAGUGGGGAAAAUUGCACAAUGGGUGCAAGCCUGAGGCAGCCAUGCCGCGUGUAUGAAGAAGGCCGUCGGGUUGUAAAGUACUUUCAGCGAGGAGGCGUUACUCGCAGAAGAAGCACCGGCUAAUUCCGUGCCAGCAGCCGCGGUAAUAC
rnacentral:rRNA from 1 species